rnacentral:rRNA from 1 species
GCCAGACUCCUACGGGAGGCAGCAGUGGGGAAUAUUGCACAAUGGGGGAAACCCUGAUGCAGCGACGCCGCGUGAGUGAAGAAGUAUUUCGGUAUGUAAAGCUCUAUCAGCAGGGAAGAAAAUGACGGUACCUGACUAAGAAGCCCCGGCUAACUACGUGCCAGCAGCCGCGGUAAUACGUAGGGGGCAAGCGUUAUCCGGAUUUACUGGGUGUAAAGGGAGCGUAGACGGUAGAGCAAGUCUGAAGUGAAAGCCCGCGGCUCAACUGCGGGACUGCUUUGGAAACUGUUCAACUGGAGUGCUGGAGAGGUAAGCGGAAUUCCUAGUGUAGCGGUGAAAUGCGUAGAUAUUAGGAGGAACACCAGUGGCGAAGGCGGCUUACUGGACUGUAACUGACGUUGAGGCUCGAAAGCGUGGGGAGCGAACAGGAUUAGAUACCCCAGUAA